UACGUAGGAUGCAAGCGUUGUUCGGAAUUACUGGGCGUAAAGAGUACGUAGGCGGUUUGGUAAGUCUGAUAUUAAAGACUGGGGCUCAACUCCAGGAGUGUAUCGGAAACUGUCAGACUAGAGGACAAUAGAGGAAGUCGGAAUUCUCAGUGUAGCGGUGAAAUGCGUAGAUAUUGGGAAGAACACCCGUGGCGAAAGCGGCUCUCUGGGACGGUACUGACGCUUGAGACGCGGAAAGCGUGGGGAGCAAACA
rnacentral:rRNA from 1 species